rnacentral:rRNA from 1 species
AAGACCUUGCGCUUUUGGAGCGGCCGAUGUCUGAUUAGCUUGUUGGUGAGGUAAAGGCUUACCAAGGCUUCGAUCAGUAGCUGGUCUGAGAGGACGGCCAGCCACACUGGGACUGAGACACGGCCCAGACUCCUACGGGAGGCAGCAGUGGGGAAUUUUGGACAAUGGGGGCAACCCUGAUCCAGCCAUGCCGCGUGAGUGAAGAAGGCCUUCGGGUUGUAAAGCUCUUUCAGCCGGAACGAAACGGUUACGGUUAAUACCCGUGACUACUGACGGUACCGGAAGAAGAAGCACCGGCUAACUACGUGCCAGCAGCCGCGGUAAUACGUAGGGUGCAAGCGUUAAUCGGAAUUACUGGGCGUAAAGCGUGCGCAGGUGGUUUUGUAAGUCAGAUGUGAAAUCCCCGGGCUUAACCUGGGAACU